ACCUACGGGACGCAGCAGUAGGGAAUUUUCGUCAAUGGGCGCAAGCCUGAACGAGCAAUGCCGCGUGAACGAGGAAGGUCUUCGGAUCGUAAAGUUCUGUUGAAGGGGAAAAGAGCGGAGAGAGGAAAUGGUCUCCAAUUGAUAUUACCCUUCGAGGAAGUCACGGCUAACUACGUGCCAGCAGCCGCGGUAAUACGUAGGUGGCAAGCGUUAUCCGGAAUGAUUGGGCGUAAAGGGUGCGUAGGCGGCCUGCUAAGUCUGGAGUGAAAGGUACCGGCUCAACCGGUACAGGCUCUGGAAACUGG
rnacentral:rRNA from 1 species